rnacentral:tRNA from 1 species
GGGGAUAGAGCUCAGUGGUGGUGUGUCCGCCUGACAAGUGGGAGGUCCUGAGUUUGAUUCCUGGUACCCCCC